GACUCCUGACCGUAUGCUGCUCCAUUAUCAGGUUAUUUUUUCCACACUAUCUUUGACAGUCAAGAAUUCUUUUUUCCAAUAAUACCAGUGAUCAUUGCCAAAGCCCUGUUGCCUGUGGAGAGGAUGAUGUUUGACUUUCUUGUACAGCUGCAGUUUGAAUGGUGAAGGCGCUCCCACAACGUGGUUGGAAUAUUACAGCACUACUAACAGGGCUGCAUGUAAACAGGCUCAGUCCAGUUAAUCAAUACAUUCGGAAGGAUUUCCUC